GGAGAGGUGUCCGAGUGGUUUAAGGAGCUGGUCUUGAAAACCAGUGACUCCUCACGGAGCCGUGGGUUCGAAUCCCACCCUCUCCGCCA
rnacentral:tRNA from 3 species